rnacentral:rRNA from 1 species
UGAGUACGAGACGCUAAGGCGUCGAAGUAGUGGAUGUCAUACUUCCAAGAAAAGCUUGCACUGUCAUAAGUAAAAAAUGCCUGUACCAUAACCGACACAGGUGGGUAAGUAGAGUAUACUAAGGGGCGCGAGAUAACUCUCUCUAAGGAACUCGGCAAAAUAACUCCGUAACUUCGGGAGAAUGAGUGCCUUAUUCUUAAGGUUGCAAUAACAAGAUCCAAGCAACUGUUUAUCAAAAACACAGGUCUCCGCUAGGUCGUAAGACGAUGUAUGGGGGCUGACGCCUGCCCAGUGCCAGAAGGUUAAAGAAGUCGGUUAGCAAUAGCAAAGCUGGUAACUGAAGCCCUGGUGAACGGCGGCCGUAACUAUAACGGUCCUAAGGUAGCGAAAUUCCUUGUCGGGUAAGUUCCGACCCGCACGAAAGGCGUAAUGAUUUGGAUGCUGUCUCGGAGAGGGGCUCGGUGAAAUAGACUUGUCUGUGAAGAUGCGGACUACCUGCACCAGGACAGAAAGACCCUAUGAAGCUUUACUGUAACUUGAAAUUGAAAUUGGACUUUAUUCGCGCAGUAUAGGUGGGAGGCGUUGAUUAUAAUCUUGUGGGAUUAUUGGAGCCAUCAGUGAGAUACCACUCUUGUAAUGUUAGAUUUCUAACUUUGAAUCAUUAUCUGGUCAAAGGACAGUUUCAGGCGGGCAGUUUGACUGGGGCGGUCGCCUCCUAAACGGUAACGGAGGCGUACAAAGGUUUCCUCUGAACGGUUAGAAAUCGUAUCUAGAGUGUAAAGGCAUAAGGAAGCUUGACUGUGAGACCUACAAGUCGAGCAGGGACGAAAGUCGGUCUUAGUGAUCUGACGGUACUGAGUGGAAAGGCCGUCACUCAACGGAUAAAAGUUACUCUAGGAUAACAGGCUGAUCUCCCCCAAGAGUUCACAUCGACGGGGAGGUUUGGCACCUCGAUGUCGGCUCAUCGCAUCCUGGGGCGGUAGUACGUCCCAAGGGUUGGGCUGUUCGCCCAUGAAAGCGGUACGCGAGCUGGGUUCAGAACGUCGUGAGACAGUUCGGUCCAUAUCCGGUGUAGGCGCUAGAAUAUUGAGAGGAGCCUUCUUUAGUACGAGAGGACCGAGAAGGACAUACCUCUGGUGUACCAGUUAUCGUGCCAACGGUAAACGCUGGGUAGCUAUGUAUGGAGUGGAUAACCGCUGAAAGCAUCUAAGUGGGAAGCCCACCUCAAGAUAAGUAUUCUCAUC